GUAGUUAGCCGGGGCUUCCUCCUUGGCUACCGUCACUUUCUUCGUCACCAAGGACAGAGGUUUACAACCCGAAAGCCUUCUUCCCUCACGCGGCGUUGCUGGGUCAGGCUUGCGCCCAUUGCCCAAUAUUCCCCACUGCUGCCUCCCGUAGGAGUCUGGACCGUGUCUCAGUUCCAGUGUGGCCGAUCAGCCUCUCAGCUCGGCUACCCAUCGUUGGCUUGGUGGGCCGUUACCUCACCAACUACCUAAUGGGACGCGAACCCCUCUUAAAGCGGAUUGCUCCUUUCAUACACUUAUUCAUGCGAAUUAUGUACAAUAUGCGGUAUUAGCGUCCGUUUCCGGAAGUUAUCCCCCACUGAUAGGCAGGUUGCUCACGCAUUACUCACCCGUCCGCCACUAGGUUAAGAAGCAAGCUCCUUAACCCCGUUCGACUUGCAUGUGUUAGGCACGCCGCCAGCGUUCAUCCUGAGCCAGGAUCAAACUCUGA
rnacentral:rRNA from 1 species